rnacentral:lncRNA from 1 species
GCGAAUCCAGAAAUUUUGUGCACAAUUUCCGUGGUGCACUUUGACUGGAGAUUUCUGGUUAGAUCUGAUGGUAUUAUGUUGAUAUUAAGGUUUUUAGUUGUAGUCCUACAUGUUGUCUACACACUAGAAGUGAUAGAGCACAAAAAUGUUACACGAUCACCAAGUUAUAGAGGUCCAAAGUAGGCACCUCGAAGCUGUUUUUCGUGAAGAACAGCUUUGGCAGCUACUUUGAGGUUCGUUUUCU